rnacentral:rRNA from 1 species
UUUUAUGGAGAGUUUGAUCCUGGCUCAGGAUGAACGCUGGCGGCGUGCCUAAUACAUGCAAGUCGAGCGAACGGACGAGAAGCUUGCUUCUCUGAUGUUAGCGGCGGACGGGUGAGUAACACGUGGAUAACCUACCUAUAAGACUGGGAUAACUUCGGGAAACCGGAGCUAAUACCGGAUAAUAUUUUGAACCGCAUGGUUCAAAAGUAAAAGACGGUCUUGCUGUCACUUAUAGAUGGAUCCGCGCUGCAUUAGCUAGUUGGUAAGGUAACGGCUUACCAAGGCAACGAUGCAUAGCCGACCUGAGAGGGUGAUCGGCCACACUGGAACUGAGACACGGUCCAGACUCCUACGGGAGGCAGCAGUAGGGAAUCUUCCGCAAUGGGCGAAAGCCUGACGGAGCAACGCCGCGUGAGUGAUGAAGGUCUUCGGAUCGUAAAACUCUGUUAUUAGGGAAGAACAUAUGUGUAAGUAACUGUGC